GAAAGAAUUGCUCCACCACUUCUAGACAUGUAAGGCUCUUUGGCUGAGGGGUUUUGUUUGCCAAAAAGCAACUAUGUUAGAUCCUUACUUUCAAUAUUUUAGCUCAGAUUCUAAGUUCAUUAACCAGUCUACAUUGGCAACUUACACUAAGCAAGCAUAGAUCCAACAUUGUGUAUAUAAGCUCAACAUCAAGAUCAUGUCAUAAUCAGACUCCUUCUUUACUCAGUGUAGCAUAGCGAUCAAGCAGUCUCAAACUGUGAGAGGCAGACGAAUCGAUUCGAGUUCUUUAACCAUGCAUGACGAACCUAACCUCACGACAUCCACGCACCACCGAGAGUCGCUUCCUGUGUCGGCCUUCCCAAUCAAUUCCCUAACCCGUGUCGGGCCCACUUCCCUUGGUGCAAGGUUCCACAGACCCGGCCUCUCCCGUUCCGUGACCACACUUGCCACCACAUGCGGCCGCAGGGGAACUUCGUUCCAGAGACAGUGGAUCAACCGCUCAUGUCCAGGUUCAAUCAGGUACUAGGCUUCCCCAUCCCAUAAUGGGUAUGAGAUUAGUACUUUCAAACACUUGAUCAUGAACACCACCACUGUCGGGCCUUACCAGAUUCAAUAAACAGACGGGACGAUCAGCCGACCACCAAAAGAGUUAACCAAACCCUGCCCUGUCCAUCGUCCUUGUAGUUGUAACCAAAAAGAGAACAACUAACUCCUAUAACUCGCGAGUGACAGGAAAAUCACUCGACUUUUACCGAGUCCUAUUAAGCAAUGCAACUACUCGACCCAAUAGACUAGUGUUCAGAUCAAAGGAACUAAGUCAUGCAUCUAUGGUUGCAAGCAACUCCUAUACGUAAAUGCACAUUCAUAAGAAGGAAGGCAUGUGCAAGUUUAGAAAGUUGGGUUUAUGCUCCGGGG
rnacentral:lncRNA from 1 species